UGCAGUCGAACGGGGAUGCAUUAAGAAGGAGUGCUUGCAUUCCGGAAGGAUGCCUUUUAGUGGCGGACGGGUGAGUAACGCGUGGGUAACCUGCCCCAUACCGGGGGAUACCACCUGGAAACAGGUGCUAAUACCGCAUAAGCGCACGGGAGCGCAUGCUCCUGUGUGAAAAACUCCGGUGGUAUGGGAUGGACCCGCGUCUGAUUAGCCAGUUGGCAGGGUAACGGCCUACCAAAGCGACGAUCAGUAGCCGGCCUGAGAGGGUGGACGGCCACAUUGGGACUGAGACACGGCCCAAACUCCUACGGGAGGCAGCAGUGGGGAAUAUUGCACAAUGGGGGAAACCCUGAUGCAGCGACGCCGCGUGAGUGAAGAAGUAUUUCGGUAUGUAAAGCUCUAUCAGCAGGAACGAGACAAGACGGUACCUGACUAAGAAGCCCCGGCUAACUACGUGCCAGCAGCCGCGGUAAUACGUAGGGGGCAAGCGUUAUCCGGAAUCACUGGGUGUAAAGGGAGCGUAGACGGCUGAGCAAGCCUGAAGUGAAAGGCGGGGGCCCAACCCCUGGACUGCUUUGGGAACUGUACGGCUGGAGUGCAGGAGAGGUAAGUGGAAUUCCUAGUGUAGCGGUGAAAUGCGUAGAUAUUAGGAGGAACACCAGUGGCGAAGGCGGCUUACUGGACUGUAACUGACGUUGAGGCUCGAAAGCGUGGGGAGCAAACAGGAUUAGAUACCCUGGUAGUCCACGCCGUANACGAUGAUUACUAGGUGUCGGGGNGCAGAGGCCCUUCGGUGCCGCAGCAAACGCAAUAAGUAAUCCACCUGGGG
rnacentral:rRNA from 1 species